GGCUGCUAGGCUCUUUAUGACUGUGCUGUUGGUAGAGCUGUUUCUGCAGGAGUCAGGCUAGUAAGCAACUGGCUAGGCAGUGGAGAAAGCUUGGUCACUGUGAACCAUCUCUUUCCAGGCUCAUAUUAAAAAGCUAUACAAAGGGAUGAAGAAUGAAGAGUAAGAGAUACCUAGGGAGGUUGGAGCCUAGAAAACUGGCAGGAUGGUAAAGUACGUGACGAAGGAUCAGGAGUUGAAAAAUGGGAGGUGGAGAUUUGCUGAAUUUGAGACCAGCAAGGAGGUGCUGUUACGAUCCAGAAGCGAAUCCAAGCAGUCUGCAGAUGAAGCUGAUUACCCACACACAGAUAAAAACAGUCGAACACAAGGAUCAGCAAUCUACCACCAAAACUAGAAUUUCUCACAAGAAUGCAAUUACCUAGAUUCCAAGAAGAAUGCAAUACAUUUAGAGUUAGAAGAAAAGUUGUAAUAAAGAGAGUAUAAUCCCUUAACUCUUUAAAUCCUAGUGUUUUUAUCAGGUCGAUAAUGUACCAACUCUGAGUCUACAAUGCCCUAAUCCUAAUUGAACGUAGUGUUUUGCAUAAGCAAAGGCACUCAAUAAACACACUGGCUGAUCUUCCCUGAAGAUUAAAUAUGAUACCAAUCAGCAGACCUAGAAAAUGAGAGUCAAGGAUUGGGACCCUCUUCACCGUGUAAAAGACCAGGUUGAACGUACUCCUUUAAUAGACCUACAUUCAGAGAGA